rnacentral:rRNA from 1 species
AGGUAUCGAUAGCUUGAUAUCCACUGUGGAAUUCGCCCUUCUUGGUCAUUUAGAGGAAGUAAAAGUCGUAACAAGGUUUCCGUAGGUGAACCUGCGGAAGGAUCAUUAAAAUACCUUUCAACACGUGUAUUGGGGAAAACACCAAAAACAACCAAAUACCAAAAAAAAUACAAAAAAAACUCCUAGCAACGGAUCUCUUGGCUCUCGCAUCGAUGAAGAACGCAGCGAAUCGCGAUACGUAUUACGACUUGCAGACGUGAAUCAUUAAUCUUUGAACGCACAUUGCGCCUUGGAGCAUUCUCCAAGGCAUGCCCGGGUGAGCGUCGGCUAUUCUCAGACCCCCCCAGGUCUGGUUUUGUCGCCCAAACUCCACAAUCAAGAUUUUUCUCUUGACCUCAUCCAGGUAGGACUACCCGCUGAACUUAAGCAUAUCAAUAAGCGGAGGAAAAGAAACCAACAGGGAUUGCCCCAGUAACGGCGAGUGAAGCGGCAAAAGCUCAAAUUUGAAAUCCCGCCCCCGCGGGAGUUGUAAUUUGAAGGCCAGCGGCAGCAUGUUCGGAAAACAAAGUCCAUUGGAACAUGGCGCCACGGAGGGUGACGGCCCCGUUUAAAAAACCGAAAUGCAUCUUCGCUGGCCAAAGAGUCGAGUUGUUUGGGAAUGCAGCUCUAACAGGUGGUAAAUCCCAUCUAAAGCUAAAUACCGGCGAGAGACCGAUAGCGAACAAGUACAGUGAUGGAAAGAUGAAAAGCACUUUGAAAAGAGAGUGAAACAGUACGUGAAAUUGCUGGGAGGGAAGGGCUUGCAAGCAGACACGGGAGUAAAAAACCCGGGCCAGCAUCAGGUGGAGCGGCGGCAUAAGCGCUGCGGGAAUGUGGCAAAGCCAAUUGGUUUUGUGUUUAUAGCCCGCGCCUCUUCCGCCCGCGCCGCCUGAGGCCAGCGAUUUCGAUCAAGGAUGCUGGCGUAAUGGUUGCAAGCCGCCCGUCUUGAAACACGGACCAAGGGCGAAUUCCACAUUGG